CAGAAGAAAGCCCAAGAAGGAUAACACUUUGAAGGACUUAACAGCCCAUUUUUCCCCACAUGUCAAGAAACAUGCUGCCUACAGCUCCUUGGAACUUUUCCUCUUAAAAUGUAUACUCUUAGAAAGAAACGGAUACUCUCGAUUUUAAUGUGAAAUAUUCCAAGGAAGGAAGCAGAUUUCUUCUCUACACCUUGACCAGAGGAUAGUGAUCAGUUUGAAUGACAUCCCACCAGUGGACCAAGAGCUGAAAUUAUAUGGGAACUUCCAUAUAUGGGAACAUGGGAACUCCAUCAUGAAGGAGGUGUUUAUUGUGCAUUCUUCCUCGCCACCUGCGUUGUGUACAUA
rnacentral:lncRNA from 1 species